rnacentral:rRNA from 1 species
GAUGAACGCUGGCGGCGUGCUUAACACAUGCAAGUCGAACGAUGAAGCCCAGCUUGCUGGGUGGAUUAGUGGCGAACGGGUGAGUAACACGUGAGUAACCUGCCCUUGACUCUGGGAUAAGCCUGGGAAACUGGGUCUAAUACUGGAUAUGACUUCUCAUCGCAUGGUGGGGGGUGGAAAGAUUUAUUGGUCUUGGAUGGACUCGCGGCCUAUCAGCUUGUUGGUGAGGUAAUGGCUCACCAAGGCGACGACGGGUAGCCGGCCUGAGAGGGUGACCGGCCACACUGGGACUGAGACACGGCCCAGACUCCUACGGGAGGCAGCAAUGGGGAAUAUUGCACAAUGGGCGCAAGCCUGAUGCAGCGACGCCGCGUGAGGGAUGACGGCCUUCGGGUUGUAAACCUCUUUCAGUAGGGAAGAAGCGAGAGUGACGGUACCUGCAGAAGAAGCGCCGGCUAACUACGUG